rnacentral:piRNA from 1 species
UAGUUAAAGGGCACAUAGUUGUAGCUAGGU